rnacentral:lncRNA from 1 species
AUGACAACUUCCUCAUUAUUCGAGUCUCAACACAAAUGUCUCUUCUUCAGAAAAGAAGUAUCCCCAAGACCCUGUUCAAAAGAGACCUCCCUAAUUGCACAAUCCAGUGGACAGUAUUUUGAGCCAAGUGCUGAUCAAUGGAUACAUGACUUGUUUUUUGUAGGAAGAGUACAUGCAAAGAUGAUAUCCUACCUAGCUCCUUCAGGAGUAGCUGCACCAAGAUCAAGCUUCAUAACACAUUCCAGAGAGUGAUGGUGCUGGACUGACUUCAUGCUGGUGAGUGCUCCCCAACUUGCAGAGUAGCCCUGAGCUGAUGUAGUUGUCUGAUACGUCUUGCCUCUGUGUGUUUUAUGCAAUUAUAAAGGAAACAUAACCCAACCUGGAUGAA